rnacentral:rRNA from 1 species
ACAUGCAAGUCGAGCGAACGGACGAGAAGCUUGCUUCUCUGAUGUUAGCGGCGGACGGGUGAGUAACACGUGGAUAACCUACCUAUAAGACUGGGAUAACUUCGGGAAACCGGAGCUAAUACCGGAUAAUAUUUUGAACCGCAUGGUUCAAAAGUGAAAGACGGUCUUGCUGUCACUUAUAGAUGGAUCCGCGCUGCAUUAGCUAGUUGGUAAGGUAACGGCUUACCAAGGCAACGAUGCAUAGCCGACCUGAGAGGGUGAUCGGCCACACUGGAACUGAGACACGGUCCAGACUCCUACGGGAGGCAGCAGUAGGGAAUCUUCCGCAAUGGGCGAAAGCCUGACGGAGCAACGCCGCGUGAGUGAUGAAGGUCUUCGGAUCGUAAAACUCUGGUUAUUAGGGAAGAACAUAUGUGUAAGUAACUGUGCACAUCUUGACGGUACCUAAUCAGAAAGCCACGGCUAACUACGUGCCAGCAGCCGCGGUAAUACGUAGGUGGCAAGCGUUAUCCGGAAUUAUUGGGCGUAAAGCGCGCGUAGGCGGUUUUUUAAGUCUGAUGUGAAAGCCCACGGCUCAACCGUGGAGGGUCAUUGGAAACUGGAAUACUUGAGUGCAGAAGAGGAAAGUGGAAUUCCAUGUGUAGCGGUGAUAUGCGCAGAGAUAUGGAGGUACACCAGUGGCGAAGGCGACUUUCUGGUCUGUUACUGACGCUGAUGUGC